GCAGCCGCGGUAAUACAUAGGGGGCGAGCGUUAUCCGGAUUUAUUGGGCGUAAAGAGUGCGUAGGCGGCUACUUAAGUCUGUCGUGAAAGCCCACAGCUUAACUGUGGAGGGUCGAUGGAAACUGGGCAGCUUGAAUGCAGAAGAGGUAAGUGGAAUUCCAUGUGUAGCGGUAAAAUGCUUAGAUAUAUGGAGGAACACCAGUGGCGAAGGCGGCUUACUGGUCUGUUAUUGACGCUGAGGCACGAAAGCGUGGGGAGCAAACAGGAUUAGAUACCCC
rnacentral:rRNA from 1 species